rnacentral:rRNA from 1 species
UACGUAGGGUGCGAGCGUUAAUCGGAAUUACUGGGCGUAAAGCGUGCGUAGGCGGUUUUCUAAGUCUGCCGUGAAAGCCCCGGGCUCAACCUGGGAAUGGCGGUGGAUACUGGAAAGCUGGAGUGCGGUAGAGGAGGGUGGAAUUCCCGGUGUAGCGGUGAAAUGCGUAGAGAUCGGGAGGAACAUCAGUGGCGAAGGCGGCCCUCUGGACCAGCACUGACGCUGAGGCACGAAAGCGUGGGGAGCAAACAGG